GAUGCUGUGAUCCUGUGGAUAGCUUCAACAUGUGCUGUAAAGAAUCACGUGCAGCUCAGCUUCAGUAAGACCAAGGAGCUGGUCGUGGAUUCCCAACACAGCAAGAUGCUAGUGACACCUGUCACCAUCCAGGGUUGAGGAGGUGGAGAUGAUGCAAGAACUGCCAGUACUGUACCUGGGGAUGCACAUGCGUAAGCAGCAAAUUAGACCAGAGACAUUGUACAAAGGUCUGCUUAGUACGCAGCAUGAGAGCAACAGAGAGGGAGGAUGAGGACUAAAGUAAACUCCAUCUUAGAAAACACCAUUCGCCCACUAUGCUAACCUGAUGCUGCUAUGGAUCAUCAUCAGACUCUGCUUUAUUCCCCUCAAGAUGUCUCUUCAAUAAAAAGCUGGAAAACUGAGAGAGGGAGGAGGACUGCACCACAAGAGGAAUACAAAAGAUGAGGACAACCGGAAGUGCUGCUGCUCCCAGUUCAGCCUGAGAGGGGCAGAAGAGAACUAGAGAUACCUUCUCUGAGCAGGUUUCAUGCACACUGCCUGAUGAAAGUGCAGGCUGUGAAGUUACUAAGGGACAUCUCAGCUGUUUAGUCAUAGAACUGAAAUUCAGGCAUUGAUUCUACUAGUUUCCUCAGGUUUCUCUAAAAACUCAUAACAGAGGUGACUGUCAGCCUGUAAUUAAGCAGACAUUAAGCCUACAAUGUAAUACAGUUACUUUGAGCAAAGCUUUUUCAUGCAGUGUAUAUAGUAUUUUGUCCUCACCUUGCAUAUGUGCUGUAUAUACACAUAUGUAUAGACACGUGUGCGCACACACACACACUACAUGCUUGAUGUUUCUGAGUAAAACCUUCAUCCCAUGACACACAUCUUUCUCCAUAUUGAGGAUGACAUCAGCACUUUCAGCAGGUCACACACUAGUCUGACAGUGAUUCAUCACAUCAAGGUCUUCUCAAUAAUCAGGAAAGAAACAAGUGAAAGCUAGA